GACGAACGCUGGCGGCGUGCUUAACACAUGCAAGUCGAACGGAAAGGCCCUGCUUUUGUGGGGUGCUCGAGUGGCGAACGGGUGAGUAACACGUGAGUAACCUGCCCUUGACUUUGGGAUAACUUCAGGAAACUGGGGCUAAUACCGGAUAGGAGCUCCUGCUGCAUGGUGGGGGUUGGAAAGUUUCGGCGGGUGGGGAUGGACUCGCGGCUUAUCAGCUUGUUGGUGGGGUAGUGGCUUACCAAGGCUUUGACGGGUAGCCGGCCUGAGAGGGUGACCGGCCACAUGGGGACUGAGAUACGGCCCAGACUCCUACGGGAGGCAGCAGUGGGGAAUAUUGCACAAUGGGCGGAAGCCUGAUGCAGCAACGCCGCGUGCGGGAUGACGGCCUUCGGGUUGUAAACCGCUUUCGCCUGUGACGAAGCGUGAGUGACGGUAAUGGGUAAAGAAGCACCGGCUAACUACGUG
rnacentral:rRNA from 1 species